AAGGUUGUUCCAACAAGUCCAAUACAGUCAUGAUAUUACAAUAUUGUUACAACCUUGUGUCAUCAACCUUCAAGUUGUAACAUUCUUGUUAUAUCAUGACUGUAUCAGACUUGUCAGAACAACCUU